UUACACAAAGAAAAAAAGAGUAACAACACAACAACAUCGACAAUCUUCAGAGACAUACACAAGGAAUGACUAUAUACGGGAUAUAAAUAGUACAGGAUACAAAUAGUGCUGUAAAUAGGAUACAAAUAGCGCAAAGAAGUGAAGAGUGCAAGGAGUGAAGAGAUAAAUAUUAAAUAGUGUUCCAGGGUUAUUGCACAGUGCCACAGUGAGUUAACUGUUCAUAAGUGUGACGGCGAGGGGGAGGAACUCUUCCUGUGUCUGGUGGUUUUGGUGUACAGUGUUCCAUAGCAUCUACCAGACGGGAGAAGUCGGAACAGGUUAUGUCCAGGGUGUGAGGGGUCUGCAGUGAUUUUCCCUGCCCGUUUCCUGACUCUGGAGGUAUACAAAUCCAGUGAUUAAAAGCUGUUCAGGCCCUGAUGCAGCAAAGCAGCCCAAAACCAUAAUGCUCCACCUCCACCACCUUCACAGUUGGGAUGUGGUUUUGAUGUUGGUGAGCAGAGCUUUUUCUCUCCAAACAUAGCGUUGUGCAUUUCUGCCAAAAAGUUCAACUUUUGUCUCAUCCAUCCAUAGGAAAUAGUGCCAGAAGCAUUGUGGAAUGUUCAUUGAUUGGAACACCUGACUCCAGUUAGCUUUAGGAGAAGUCACUUGCCUAGAGGUUCACAUACGUUUGUCUACCUCGACUGUGAAUGUUUAAAUGAUGCAUAUUGAAUAUGAUGAAUAUUGACAAGAAGUACAGUUACUUAUUUGUUAUUAGUUUAAGCAGAUUGUAGUAGUCUAUUAUUGUGAUUCAGAUGAAGAUCUGAUCACAUUUAAAUAGUAAUUAAUGCAGAAAUCCAGGUAAUUCCCAGGAUUUACAAACUUUUUCUGUGCAACUGUACAUAUGUAUGUAUAAAUUGUCUGCAAGCACAUCCCAGUCAGCAUGUGUAUAUUCAAAAAUCGUUACAGAUUCUGAAGUGGAUGAAGACAGAUAACAGGUUUUCUUCCCUACAAUAAAUUCAAACCCUUAUAUACGCUUGGUAGAAUGCUGUAAUGUAACGUAAUUUGAUGUAAUGACAUGGCUCAGCAUUUUAUAGCAGGGGGGACUCAUCUCAACAACCACCAGUAUGUAGUCGAAAACAUUCAUUACACAUCGUUUAUAAAGAGGAAUUAUUUAGCCAAAUAUUCUUCUGGAUGAUUAGGCAGCCGGAUUGGAUGAACCAUGUUAGGAACAUUUUCAGGACACAAGGGCACCUCACAUUCUUAGCAAAAAGUGCAAUGUGGUCUUUUAAAAAUAUUUGAUCUCCAUAUUUCUGAAUUCCCAAGUUUUUAAAUACUCUAGUCCCAAAACCAAAGCCUGUCUUCCCUAAUCCUCACAUAUAAAGUGUCAUCAAGCUCACUUUUUAAUGUGGCUAAAUAUGACUGAAUAAUAUAUUCACAAGUAAUGAUCACUGUUUACAGUAAUUUAAGCGCGUGGUAAUUUUACCCUGAAUUGUUUGUAAGUCUGAUGAGAAAAGAGACAAUGACUCAGUAUGGGGGUCUUCUCUCUCUCACUGUGGCGAGAACGCGUGUGAUGUGGAGUAAGAAGAUGUUCACCACAAACAUAUGAAACAAACGUGACUAGAGAGUUGCAUCUCUGGCCACUCGCUUUCACAGAGUGCUCAGAAAGGAUUAGGCUUAUUGUGAACUAACCAAAUGUGCACCAACUGGAAAAUUAUCAGCAGUUUGUCAGUUGAGGAGUGAACAAACUAAGUUGAUGAUUCCUCAGUUUUAAAAACAGUGUCCCACUUAACUGGUGGUAAGGCUAUUUAGGUGGUUUAGAACCCAGUCAGAACAGUUUUAGUCUUCUGUGAAGCCAUCUGUGAUAGUCUAAUCUGCCUCAAAAACAGGUAGAUAAAAAUGCAUAUAUUAUACUGUUCCUACAGGAACAAGCAAAAGACAGGCUAUGUUCAGAGUGACACAGGUUAAGUGAACCAUACAAGAUACAACCCACACUAUCAUAUUAAUUACAAUGUCUUUAAUGCUCUAAGAUAGAAUUUGCGCCUAUUUAUAUACUGUGGAAACAUUUUAAGAUGUUUGUACGGUUGAGACCCUUAACGACUGAGAGAUGAACAGUGGAAAAAAAAAGAGGGGGAGGACAGACACGCAUUUGAUAUGUAGCGAGAUAUUCGCUCAAGGCUUAGGGGGUCUUUCAGUUAACCGUCUUAAAUGAGUCAUUCAUCUUUUGAUGUGACAUAUAAUCUGAGACACACUUUUUAUAGAAUCAUUUGGAGCUGACAUGCACCACUGAUCACUUUCUUUCUGCCUGUCACAUUGAAUCACUCGACUAUUGACGAUGAGGUCCAUGACAGGAGUCUUCCUGACUCUCUUUCUCUCUCCUCUCUUCUCACUCUAUCACUCAUUACGUUGUGACAGUAAGACAGAGUACGUCUCACCCGAAGGAAAGUGCUGCAGCAAGUGUAAACCAGGGGAACGCUUGGACAAAGUCUGCACCCCCACCAGCCCCACCAAGUGUGUACCGUGCAAAGGUGGCUACUACUCCGACCGCUACGAUGAGGCACGGACCUGCCACAGAUGCAGUGACUGCAGCAUGAUCCGUUUGGAGUACAGGAUAAACUGCACGACCACUCACAACGCGGUGUGUGGUUGUGAACGUGGGUACCAGUGUAAAAGUGAGCCAUGCCUAGAUUGUGAAAAAAUAACUACUCCUGAUGCAGGCAAAGAUACAACAACUACCAAAGAAGUAUCAACGGCCCCAGGAGUAAAGCCUGUUAAGGAAGGGCCUUCUUCCAGCAUGUGGUCCACUCACAUUGUUCUUAUAGUGUGUUGUUGCACACUGCUGAUCUUUGUCAUUCUCAUCUCUAGAAACAAAAAUGAAUUGCGAUGGAUCUGGAGAACAACAAAGGGGUGCCGGGUUGCCAGAGAGACAGCCACACCGAAUCAGUGCACGGAGGAGGAGGGGAAAAUGCCUGUUCAGGAAGUGUGUGAAAAGCUGGAAGUGUAGGAAUGCUUUAUCCUUGAUGGACAGACACAGACGGCUGAUAGCCAUUUUAACAUUACAAAGAACAAACAGCAAUAUAUUCUGGGUAAACAAUGCGUCAAAAUGUACAAUGACAGAAACAAGAAAUCGGAUAGGAGGAGAAAGAAAGGGAGCAAAGAACAAAAGGAGAGAAAAAGACAGGAGGAAGAAUUACACUGUUGAGUGUAUACACGCGCGUAUACACAUGCACACACACAAAAUAUCAUGUAUAUAUUGAUUUGGGUUGCAAUAGCCCACAUUAAGUUGUUGACAUUUAAUUCAAAUAUAUACAUUUAAAUAGUUAACCAUGUCAAUGCUUUAAAGAAACUAAAAACAUUUGCACAGACACAGUUCAGCAAGUGAACUUAAGUUAAAAACAGUUGCAAAU